UGCCCUGAUUUCUCCUGAGCAUACAAGUGCCUGGUCCACACGUCCACAACCAAUCUGUCCAUUUUACAGGUAAGGACACUAAGGGCUCAGAGACGGAAUGAGAUUUCCCUGAGGUAACACAGCAAGACCCCCAGCUAAUUCUAGAACACUGCGGACUGUGGAUGGUGUGAUGCGGAGGUUUCUCAACAGCGUAAGGGACCAUCAGCCAGAGACAGUGUAGAAGAUGGCUAUGGAGAGGAAGACACAAAAACUGAGCCCCAACUUAGGGCAGAGGUGUGAUGGGCAGAGCUGAGAGAGGCUGGGGAGAUGGCUCAGAUGGAUUCAUCCUCUAGACCAUUCUAUGUGGAAGACAUCAGCAUCCACAGAUGCAGCACAGAAUUGCUGGAGCCAGGACCAGCAGCUGGGAUGCAGAUAGGACACUGACAGAGGAUGCAGGAGGAGGAAACGUCACUUACCCUCUGGUAAUACACAUGGGCCAGGACUCCCGCCACCAGCUCAACCAGGAAGAUGACGAGCAACAGGCAGAAAUACUAGCAGCAAAGAGAGAGGACGGUCACCACUGGGAUCGGGUUG
rnacentral:lncRNA from 1 species